rnacentral:misc_RNA from 1 species
AAGUCGUAACAAGGUUUCCGUAGGUGAACCUGCGGAAGGAUCAUUAACACGUAUCCAACGUUAAAAACCCCGUGAACCUUUAUUCGCCGCUCCCACGGCUCAGUCGCGUAAAGCUAGCAAUCCCUGUACUCGUCCGAGAAAUGAAGGAGAAGGGACUUCUGGCAGCGCUUUGUUUUUCCCCAAGCAAUCAGUGGGUGACAGUGUCAUUGAUUGUGUAAGGAUUUCGCUUAGCGAUCACUGGAGGUCGAUCACCGACCGGUGGAUCAAGUCACAGGGCUUCGGCUCCCUCCCCAACCCCACUUCCUAUUGCCGCUCCGCGCUAACAACGCCGGGCAUUUAAAAACGUACUAAACAACUGUUAACAAUGGAUAUCUUGGUUCUC